rnacentral:rRNA from 1 species
AUUGAACGCUGGCGGCAUGCCUUACACAUGCAAGUCGAACGGCAGCACGGGGGCAACCCUGGUGGCGAGCGGCGGACGGGUGAGGAAUGCAUCGGAAUCUGCCUCGUUGUGGGGGAUAACGUAGGGAAACUUACGCUAAUACCGCAUACGACCUACGGGUGAAAGUGGGGGACCUUCGGGCCUCACGCGAUGAGAUGAGCCGAUGCCGGAUUAGCUAGUUGGCGGGGUAACGGCCCACCAAGGCGACGAUCGAUAGCUGGUCUGAGAGGAUGAUCAGCCACACUGGAACUGAGACACGGUCCAGACUCCUACGGGAGGCAGCAGUGGGGAAUAUUGCACAAUGGGCGAAAGCCUGAUGCAGCAACGCCGCGUGAGCGAUGAAGGCCUUUGGGUCGUAAAGCUCUGUCCUUGGGGAAGAAUAAAUGACGGUACCAUUUAUAAGGUCCGGCUAACUACGUGCCAGCAGCCG